rnacentral:rRNA from 1 species
CUACGGGUCGCAGCAGUGGGGGAUAUUGCACAAUGGGCGAAAGCCUGAUGCAGCAACGCCGCGUGAAGGAAGACGGUUUUCGGAUUGUAAACUUCUAUCAGCUGGGAAGAAAAUGACGGUACCAGACUAAGAAGCCCCGGCUAACUAUGUGCCAGCAGCCGCGGUAAUACAUAGGGGGCAAGCGUUAUCCGGAAUUACUGGGUGUAAAGGGUACGUAGGCGGCUGAUCAAGUCAGAUGUGAAAGCCCGGAGCUCAACUCCGGGAUUGCAUUUGAAACUGGUCGGCUAGAGUGCAGGAGAGGAAAGUGGAAUUCCUAGUGUAGCGGUGAAAUGCGUAGAUAUUAGGAAGAACACCAGUGGCGAAGGCGGCUUUCUGGACUGUAACUGACGCUGAGGUACGAAAGCGUGGGGAGCGAACAGGAUUAGAUACCCUGGUAGUC